rnacentral:rRNA from 1 species
CCUACGGGAGGCAGCAGUGAGGAAUAUUGGUCAAUGGGCGCGAGCCUGAACCAGCCAAGUCGCGUGAGGGAUGACGGUCCUACGGAUUGUAAACCUCUUUUGCCGGGGAGCAAGCGUGCGUUCGUGAACGCGCGUCGAGAGUACCCGGAGAAAAAGCUCCGGCUAACUACGUGCCAGCAGCCGCGGUAAUACGUAGGGAGCGAGCGUUGUCCGGAAUUACUGGGUGUAAAGGGAGCGUAGGCGGGACUGCAAGUUGGGUGUCAAAUCUACCGGAUCAACCGGUAGCCGCACUCAAAACUGCAGUUCUUGAGUGAAGUAGAGGCAGGCGGAAUUCCUAGUGUAGCGGUGAAAUGCGUAGAUAUUAGGAGGAACACCAGUGGCGAAGGCGGCCUGCUGGGCUUUUACUGACGCUGAGGCUCGAAAGUGUGGGGAGCAAACAGGAUUAGAUACCCGAGUAGUC